AGAUUUAAUCUUAGGUGUCCAUUGGGCAUUAGGUUGGACUUUGGAUCCUCUUCUCUUCUCAGACAGACUUCUCGAAUCUUUGCCGCUCAGCUCUGCAUCUCCCUUGCCUUCGCAAGUUGCAACCUUCCUCCUCAUCCUAUUCCGUGUAGCGGCCCUCUCUGUGAACUUCAGCUCUGCAUCUCCGUUCAAGUUCAGUCAAAUAGACCUACAACACGUUAUCAGCACGCUUUUGCCAUAUGCUAAGGAAAUGAAGGAUCGUAGGAGGAGAUUCUAAGAACAAAGUAUGCAAUAAGAUGCAUUUUGGAGGCCUUUGGAGCAGUUUCGGGUUUGGAUGGAUAGCAAAUGUAGGGAGCGAGGUGGAUGGACGAAAAUUGAAGACUAAAGAGGCUAAGAAUGUGAAGAAUUAUUGUACAAAGGAUAAAGAACUCAUCCACAAUAGGGUGUCACUCCAAAAUUCACCAUUCUUGCCGUGCAAUUCACAUUGUAUUCCCUUUGGAUUCCCAUGCCAUGCUUAAUCACCCUUGUCCCCUACAUUAUUUCUGAUUUCAUGCCUCAAUACACUCAAUUAUUACACUCAAUUGCUGUAUACCUCUUGUUCCCUUCACCCAUCAGAUUUCACACAACUUUCACAACCAUUACAUGCACCAAUUGAUGCUCCAUCAGCCACCUUUAGGAUCCUAUGCCGUGUGAAACACAUGUUGCUGCACCUUUGACUAAUUUCUGAAACAUUUCACCUCCCCUUUUCAUUUCUAUGCAAUGUACACAAUCAUUCAUGCUCCCUAGCUGAAAUACCACUCCAUUUUACCCUCCAUACUUUGCAUCAUUGCUUCAUUUUCAUCCUUGGACCAUUGCACACCACAAAUUGACCCUUCUUGCUGUGCAUUUCCCCAUUGCCUAACCUGAUUCUCUAGGGUAUUUGGGGCAUAUAUAUACUUGUUUACACCCCUUGGCCAAGAGGACCAUCUCCCAUAUUCAUCAUUCAUCACAGAAAAUUCGUCCAUACACACCCUAGGCAGCAAAACACCCCCAAAACACCAUUCUAGUGCCCAGAAAACAUAACAGCCACUCCACCCUCUUCCACCCUUUUUGC